rnacentral:pre_miRNA from 1 species
GUGAAAAGAGUGUAGUUUUACUGAUGUUUUUAGAAUUAGCCCCCUAAAUGAAGGGCUAAUGCAAAAAAUGUCAGUGCAAAUGCAUGAAACUUACAA